GACGAACGCUGGCGGCGUGCUUAACACAUGUAAGUCGAACGGAAAGGCCCUGCUUGCAGGGUACUCGAGUGGCGAACGGGUGAGUAACACGUGGGUGAUCUGCCCUGCACUUCGGGAUAAGCCUGGGAAACUGGGUCUAAUACCGGAUAGGAGCCAUUUUUAGUGUGAUGGUUGGAAAGUUUUUUCGGUGUAGGAUGAGCUCGCGGCCUAUCAGCUUGUUGGUGGGGUAAUGGCCUACCAAGGCGGCGACGGGUAGCCGGCCUGAGAGGGUGGACGGCCACAUUGGGGCUGAGAUACGGCCCAGACUCCUACGGGAGGCAGCAGUGGGGAAUAUUGCACAAUGGGCGCAAGCCUGAUGCAGCGACGCCGCGUGGGGGAUGACGGCCUUCGGGUUGUAAACUCCUUUCGCUAGGGACGAAGCUUUUUGUGACGGUACCUAGAUAAGAAGCACCGGCUAACUACGUG
rnacentral:rRNA from 1 species